rnacentral:rRNA from 1 species
GAUGAACGCUGGCGGCGUGCCUAAUACAUGCAAGUCGAGCGAACAGACGAGGAGCUUGCUCCUCUGACGUUAGCGGCGGACGGGUGAGUAACACGUGGAUAACCUACCUAUAAGACUAGGAUAACUUCGGGAAACCGGAGCUAAUACCGUAUAACAUGUUGAACCGCAUGGUUCAACAGUGAGAGACGGUCUUGCUGUCACUUAUAGAUGGAUCCGCGCCGCAUUAGCUAGUUGGUAAGGUAACGGCUUACCAAGGCAGCGAUGCGUAGCCGACCUGAGAGGGUGAUCGGCCACACUGGAACUGAGACACGGUCCAGACUACUACGGGAGGCAGCAGUAGGGAAUCUUCCGCAAUGGGCGAAAGCCUGACGGAGCAACGCCGCGUGAGUGAAGAAGGUCUUCGGAUCGUAAAACUCUGUUAUUAGGGAAGAACAAAUGUGUAAGUAACUAUGCACGUCUUGACGGUACCUAAUCAGAAAGCCACGGCUAACUACGUG